CAGUAGCCGCGGUAAUACGAGGGGGGCAAGCGUUGUUCGGAAUUAUUGGGCGUAAAGGGCGCGUAGGCGGUUUGGCAAGUUUGGUGUGAAAUCUUCGGGCUCAACUCGAAGUCUGCACCGAAAACUGCCGGGCUUGAGUAUGGGAGAGGUGAGUGGAAUUUCCGGUGUAGCGGUGAAAUGCGUAGAUAUCGGAAGGAACACCUGUGGCGAAAGCGGCUCACUGGACCAUUACUGACGCUGAGGCGCGAAAGCUAGGGGAGCAAACAGGAUUAGAUACCCGGGUAGUCCCUGUCUCUUAUAC
rnacentral:rRNA from 1 species